CUCUCAGUCUAUGCAACUCGUUGAGGGUCAGGGAACGUUUUUCUGGGGAGUUUAACCCUUUCACAUUGAGAGUGAUUAUGCGUAGGGUAGUCAUUGUUGGUCGGUUAUUUUAGGGGUGAAUGGGGUAGGUGUCUUGUCUCCACCCAGCGCUUGGCCACAGACCUGUCUAUACAGAAAUAUUUGGAUAUUUACAAGUAGUAAUAUAACAAACAAAACAAGUAAAGAAACUUUUCAGUAAACACUCAAGAACAAGAAAAACAAAAA